AGCUCGUAGUUGGAUUUCUGUUGAGGGCGGUCGGUCCACACAAUGUGUGCGCAUCUGGCUCAACCUCGGCAUCCUCUCGAAAGACGUUUCUGCGCUUCGUUGCGUGGGGCGGAUCUCGGGACUUUUACUUUGAGGAAAUUAGAGUGUUCACGGCAGGCCAACGCCAGAAUACAUUAGCAUGGAAUAAUACUAUAGGAUCUCGAUUCUAUUUUGUUGGUUUCUAGGAUUGGGAUAAUGAUUAAUAGGGACAAUUGGGGGCAUUCGUAUCAACACGUCAGAGGUGAAAUUCUUGGAUUGUGUUGCGACGAACUACUGCGAAAGCAUUUGCCAAGGAUGUUUUCAUUGAUCAAGAACGAAAGUAAGGGGAUCGAAGACGAUUAGAUACCGUCGUAGUCUUUACCAUAAACUAUGCCAACUAGAGAUGGGGCAUCGUCUAUUUACGACUUGCUCCGCACCUUAUGAGAUAUCAAAGUCUUUGGGUUCCGGGGGGAGUAUGGUCGCAAGGCUGAAACUUAAAGGAAUUGACGGAAGGGCACCACCAGGAGUGGAGCCUGCGGCUUAAUUUGACUCAACACGGGGAAACUCACCAGGUCCAGACAUAAUAAGGAUUGACAGAUUGAUAGCGCUUUCUUGAUUAUAUGGGUGGUGGUGCAUGGCCGUUCUUAGUUCGUGGAGUGAUUUGUCUGCUUAAUUGCGUUA
rnacentral:rRNA from 1 species